AACGAACGCUGGCGGCAUGCCUAACACAUGCAAGUCGAACGAGACCUUCGGGUCUAGUGGCGCACGGGUGCGUAACGCGUGGGAACCUGCCCUUAGGUUCGGCAUAACUCCCCGAAAGGGGUGCUAAUACCGGAUAAUGUCUUCGGACCAAAGAUUUAUCGCCUUUGGAUGGGCCCGCGUUGGAUUAGCUUGUUGGUAGGGUAAAAGCCUACCAAGGCGACGAUCCAUAGCUGGUCUGAGAGGAUGAUCAGCCACACUGGGACUGAGACACGGCCCAGACUACUACGGGAGGCAGCAGUGGGGAAUAUUGGAAAAUGGGCGAAAGCCUGAUCCAGCAAUGACGCGUGAGUGAUGAAGGCCUUAGGGUUGUAAAGCUCUUUUACCCGGGAUGAUAAUGACAGUACCGGGAGAAUAAGCGCCGGCUAACUCCGUG
rnacentral:rRNA from 1 species